ACAGCCAUAUCGUGUUGAAACACUGGUUCUUGUAUGAUCACCAAAGUUAAGCAACAUUGAGCCUAGUCAAUAGGUAGAUGGGUGACUGCUUGGGAAAACCAGAUGCUGUAAG